AUGGUGCCAGCAACCCCGCCUCACUGUGCCCCCUCUGGUCCUCAGAGUCUCUUCAGUCUGGAGAGCCACUUGUGGAGCCCAGCGUCCUGCGCUCAGCCCACAAGCCACAUGUGGCUCCACUCACUGUCCCUGUUGACUCAACCCGCCUCUUCCUCCCCGGCUCCUCAGGAAGCAGAGCCCUGCCUGGCAACAGUUGCCAUGGGGAGAGACUUCUUCAACAGCAUCAGAGGCCUCACUAAUACAGCUGGAAUAUUCAAAUUUGGCCAGCAUAAGACUCAGGCACGACGGCUGGAGUUCAAUAGCUGCAUUGCAGCCCGAGGUGACACCAGGAGUGUAACCCACGUCUAUGACAGAAAAGCACGGAGUGGCCUUUAGAGGAUCCCUAUCCCAGCCCAAACCAGCAAACAAUGGCCUUUUGUUAGCAAAAAGAAGACUGUGGGCUCCUGUAACUGCGACCUAAAGUGAGGACCACGCUGGCGCCCGCUGACUUAGGACGCAGGCCUCCUCUGUUCCCGGAGGGCCCCCGCUGUCAGGCUGGCCUCUGGCGGUGAGCUGGGGGCAGUGUUCCCAUCCCCCUUUCCACCCAUGUCACCUCACUCCCCGGAAGAGGGGAGAUCCCUUUUCUGGAAGCAGCCCGGGGUGUCGUGGCCUGCCCUGGAGGGCGGAAGGGUGCAGGUCUGAGCCGGUCUCCAGGGGGCAGGAGCAUGGGAUAGAAUGGUGGGUCUGAUUGGUGCCAGCCGGAAUCUGCCCCUCGGACAGAGGUGGAGUCUGUCCCGCAAACACAGUGCGGCUGGAAACACGGGUGGGGGUGUCGUCAGAAAGCACCAACAAGCGUGUGGAUUUGGAGGAGGAGGUCUAGGAAAACAUAAGGUGUGGGACAG
rnacentral:lncRNA from 1 species